rnacentral:rRNA from 1 species
GGUUAAGCGACUAAGCGUACACGGUGGAUGCCCUGGCAGUCAGAGGCGAUGAAGGACGUGCUAAUCUGCGAAAAGCGCCGGUAAGGUGAUAUGAACCGUUAUAACCGGCGAUUUCCGAAUGGGGAAACCCAGUGUGACUCGUCACACUAUCAUUAACUGAAUCCAUAGGUUAAUGAGGCGAACCGGGGGAACUGAAACAUCUAAGUACCCCGAGGAAAAGAAAUCAACCGAGAUUCCCCCAGUAGCGGCGAGCGAACGGGGAGGAGCCCAGAGCCUGAAUCAGCAUGUGUGUUAGUGGAAGCGUCUGGAAAGGCGCGCGAUACAGGGUGAGAGCCCCGUACACAAAAGCGCAYAUGYUGUGAGCUCGAUGAGUAGGGCGGGACACGUGGUAUCCUGUCUGAAUAUGGGGGGACCAUCCUCCAAGGCUAAAUACUCCUGACUGACCGAUAGUGAACCAGUACCGUGAGGGAAAGGCGAAAAGAACCCCGGCGAGGGGAGUGAAACAGAACCUGAAACCGUGUACGUACAAGCAGUGGGAGCACAGGUUUACCUGUGUGACUGCGUACCUUUUGUAUAAUGGGUCAGCGACUUAUAUUCUGUAGCAAGGUUAACCGCAUAGGGGAGCCGAAGGGAAACCGAGUCUUAAUUGGGCGUUAAGUUGCAGGGUAUAGACCCGAAACCCGGUGAUCUAGCCAUGGGCAGGUUGAAGGUUGGGUAACACUAACUGGAGGACCGAACCGACUAAUGUUGAAAAAUUAGCGGAUGACCUGUGGCUGGGGGUGAAAGGCCAAUCAAACCGGGAGAUAGCUGGUUCUCCCCGAAAGCUAUUUAGGUAGCGCCUCGUGAACUCAUCUCCGGGGGUAGAGCACUGUUUCGGCUAGGGGGCCAUCCCGGCUUACCAACCCGAUGCAAACUGCGAAUACCGGAGAAUGUUAUCACGGGAGACACACGGCGGGUGCUAACGUCCGUCGUGAAGAGGGAAACAACCCAGACCGCCAGCUAAGGUCCCAAAGUCAUGGUUAAGUGGGAAACGAUGUGGGAAGGCCCAGACAGCCAGGAUGUUGGCUUVGACGCAGCCAYCAUUUAAAGAAAGCGUAAUAGCUCACUGGUCGAGUCGGCNNGCGCGGAAGAUGUAACGGGGCUAAACCAUGCACCGAAGCUGCGGCAGCGACACUUUAGUGUUGUUGGGUAGGGGAGCGUUCUGUAAGCCGUUGAAGGUGUCCUGUGAGGGGUGCUGGAGGUAUCAGAAGUGCGAAUGCUGACAUAAGUAACGAUAAAGCGGGUGAAAAGCCCGCUCGCCGGAAGACCAAGGGUUCCUGUCCAACGUUAAUCGGGGCAGGGUGAGUCGACCCCUAAGGCGAGGCCGAAAGGYGUAGUCGAUGGGAAACAGGUUAAUAUUCCCGUACUUGGUGUUACUGCGAAGGGGGGACGGAGAAGGCUAUGUUGGCCGGGCGACGGUUGUCCCGGUUUAAGCGUGUAGGCUGGUUUUCCAGGCAAAUCCGGAAAAUCAAGGCUGAGGCGUGAUGACGAGGCACUACGGUGCUGAAGCAACAAAUGCCCUGCUUCCAGGAAAAGCCUCUAAGCAUCAGGUAACAUCAAAUCGUACCCCAAACCGACACAGGUGGUCAGGUAGAGAAUACCAAGGCGCUUGAGAGAACUCGGGUGAAGGAACUAGGCAAAAUGGUGCCGUAACUUCGGGAGAAGGCACGCUGACACGUAGGUGAAGUGAUUUACUCAUGGAGCUGAAGUCAGUCGAAGAUACCAGCUGGCUGCAACUGUUUAUUAAAAACACAGCACUGUGCAAACACGAAAGUGGACGUAUACGGUGUGACGCCUGCCCGGUGCCGGAAGGUUAAUUGAUGGGGUCAGCGCAAGCGAAGCUCCUGAUCGAAGCCCCGGUAAACGGCGGCCGUAACUAUAACGGUCCUAAGGUAGCGAAAUUCCUUGUCGGGUAAGUUCCGACCUGCACGAAUGGCGUAAUGAUGGCCAGGCUGUCUCCACCCGAGACUCAGUGAAAUUGAACUCGCUGUGAAGAUGCAGUGUACCCGCGGCAAGACGGAAAGACCCCGUGAACCUUUACUAUAGCUUGACACUGAACAUUGAGCCUUGAUGUGUAGGAUAGGUGGUAGGCUUUGAAGCGUGGACGCCAGUCUGCGUGGAGCCGACCUUGAAAUACCACCCUUUAAUGUUUGAUGUUCUAACGUGGACCCGUAAUCCGGGUUGCGGACAGUGUCUGGUGGGUAGUUUGACUGGGGCGGUCUCCUCCUAAAGAGUAACGGAGGAGCACGAAGGUUGGCUAAUCCUGGUCGGACAUCAGGAGGUUAGUGCAAUGGCAUAAGCCAGCUUGACUGCGAGCGUGACGGCGCGAGCAGGUGCGAAAGCAGGUCAUAGUGAUCCGGUGGUUCUGAAUGGAAGGGCCAUCGCUCAACGGAUAAAAGGUACUCCGGGGAUAACAGGCUGAUACCGCCCAAGAGUUCAUAUCGACGGCGGUGUUUGGCACCUCGAUGUCGGCUCAUCACAUCCUGGGGCUGAAGUAGGUCCCAAGGGUAUGGCUGUUCGCCAUUUAAAGUGGUACGCGAGCUGGGUUUAGAACGUCGUGAGACAGUUCGGUCCCUAUCUGCCGUGGGCGCUGGAAGACUGAGGGGGGCUGCUCCUAGUACGAGAGGACCGGAGUGGACGCAUCACUGGUGUUCGGGUUGUCAUGCCAAUGGCACUGCCCGGUAGCUAAAUGCGGAAAAGAUAAGUGCUGAAAGCAUCUAAGCACGAAACUUGCCCCGAGAUGAGUCUUCCCUGAGACUUUGAGUCUCCUGAAGGAACGUUAAAGACGAUGACGUUGAUAGGCCGGGUGUGUAAGCGCARRGUUGCGUUGAGCUAACCGGUACUAAUGAACCGUGAGGCUUAACCUU